UACGUAGGGUGCGAGCGUUGUCCGGAAUUACUGGGCGUAAAGAGCUCGUAGGCGGUUUGUCGCGUCGGCUGUGAAAACUCGGGGCUCAACUCCGAGCUUGCAGUCGAUACGGGCAGGCUAGAGUUCGGCAGGGGAGACUGGAAUUCCUGGUGUAGCGGUGAAAUGCGCAGAUAUCAGGAGGAACACCGGUGGCGAAGGCGGGUCUCUGGGCCGAUACUGACGCUGAGGAGCGAAAGCGUGGGGAGCGAACAGG
rnacentral:rRNA from 1 species